rnacentral:tRNA from 1 species
UCCCUGGUGGUCCAGUGGUUAAGACUCUGUGCUGCCAAUGCAGGGUAUCCGGGUCUGAUCCCUGGUCAGGGAA